rnacentral:rRNA from 1 species
UGGGGAAUAUUGGACAAUGGGCGAAAGCCUGAUCCAGCCAUGCCGCGUGUGUGAAGAAGGUCUUCGGAUUGUAAAGCACUUUAAGUUGGGAGGAAGGGCAGUAAGCGAAUACCUUGAUGUUUUGACGUUACCGACAGAAUAAGCACCGGCUAACUCUGUGCCAGCAGCCGCGGUAAUACAGAGGGUGCAAGCGUUAAUCGGAAUUACUGGGCGUAAAGCGCGCGUAGGUGGUUCGUUAAGUUGAAUGUGAAAGACCCGGGCUCAACCUGGGAACUGCAUCAAAAGCAGGCGAGCUAGAGGAGGGCAGAGGGUGGUGGAAUUUCCUGGGUAGCGGUGAAAUGCGUAGAUAUAGGAAGGAACACCAGUGGCGAAGGCGACCACCUGGGCUCAUACUGACACUGAGGUGCGAAAGCGUGGGGAGCAAACAGG